AUUGAACGCUGGCGGCAGGCCUAACACAUGCAAGUCGAACGAGUGGCGGACGGGUGAGUAAUGUCUGGGAAACUGCCUGAUGGAGGGGGAUAACUACUGGAAACGGUAGCUAAUACCGCAUACCAUCGGAUGUGCCCAGAUGGGAUUAGCUCGUAGGUGGGGUAAAGGCUCACCUAGGCGACGCUCCCUAGCUGGUCUGAGAGGAUGACCAGAGAAACUGGAAAUGAGACACGGUCCAGACUGCGACGGGAGGCAGCAGUGGGGAAGAUUGCACAAUGGGCGCAAGCCUGAUGCAGACAUGCGGCGUGUAUGAAGAAGGCCGUCGGGUUGUAAAGUACGUUCAGCGGGGAGGCGUUACCCGCAGAAGAAGCACCGGCUAACGCCGGGCCAGCAGCCGCGGUAAUAC
rnacentral:rRNA from 1 species